rnacentral:rRNA from 1 species
UACGUAGGGCGCAAGCGUUGUCCGGAAUUAUUGGGCGUAAAGGAGCUACGUAGGCGGUCUGUCGCGUCUGCUGUGAAAACCUCAGGGCUUAACCCUGAGCUUGCAGUGGGUACGGGCAGACUGAGAGUGCGGUAGGGGAGACUGGAAUUCCCGUGGUGUAGACGGUGAAAUGCGCAGAUAGUCAGGAGGAACACCGGUGGCGAAGGCGGGUCUCUGGGCCGUAACUGAACGCUGGAG